UAAUUGAGUUGGAAUUUAUAUUUAGAUUUAGCUAAAAACUAAAUAAUAAAAAUUUAUAUUAUAUAUAUAAUUAUUUAUUUAUAUAUUUAAAUAUCAAAUAUAUGUAUUUGAGUUGUUAUCGAGCCGAAUACGAGCGAGCUAAUCCCAGCUCGUAUUCAAUUCGUUUAUUAAAUGAGCUGAUAAAUUCGAUGUUCGGCCCGUUUGUUAAACGAGCGAUUCGAUUUCAAACUCAUUUCGAACUGAAUACGAGCUAGCUCCCG
rnacentral:lncRNA from 1 species